rnacentral:rRNA from 1 species
UACGAACUGUGCAAACGUUAUUCGGAAUCACUGGGCUUACAGGGUGCGUAGGCGGCAUUUUAAGUCAGGUGUGAAAUCCCCCGGCUCAACCGGGGAACUGCGCCUGAGACUGGAUUGCUCGAGUGAGGCAGGGGUGUACGGAACUUCCGGUGGAGCGGUGAAAUGUGUAGAUAUCGGAAGGAACGCCAGCAGCGAAAGCGGUACACUGGGCCUCGUCUGACGCUGAGGCACGAAAGCCAGGGUAGCGAACGGG